rnacentral:rRNA from 1 species
UACGUAGGGCGCAAGCGUUAUCCGGAAUUAUUGGGCGUAAAGAGCUCGUAGGUGGUUUGUCGCGUUGUCCGUGAAAACUCACAGCUCAACUGUGGGCGUGCGGGCGAUACGGGCAGACUGGAGUACUGCAGGGGAGACUGGAAUUCCUGGUGUAGCGGUGGAAUGCGCAGAUAUCAGGAGGAACACCGGUGGCGAAGGCGGGUCUCUGGGCAGUAACUGACGUGGAGGAGCGAAAGCGUGGGGAGCGAACAGG